UUCGGCCUACGGGGCGCAGCAGUGAGGAAUAUUGGUCAAUGGGCGGGAGCCUGAACCAGCCAAGUCGCGUGAGGGAAGACGGUCCUAUGGAUUGUAAACCUCUUUUGUCAGGGAGCAACGCCGGCUACGUGUAGCCGGACUGAGAGUACCUGAAGAAAAAGCAUCGGCUAAAUCCGUGCCAGCAGCCGCGGUAAUACGGAGGAUGCGAGCGUUAUCCGGAUUUAUUGGGUUUAAAGGGUGCGU
rnacentral:rRNA from 1 species